GGUUAAGCGACUAAGCGGGUACACGGUGGGAUGCCCCCGCAGUCAGAGGCGAUGAAGGGCGUGCUAAUUCCGCGAUAAGCGCCGGUAAGUGAUAUGAAAUCGUUAUAACCGGCGAUACCGAAUGGGGAAACCCAGUACCCCGUCACACUAUCAUUAACUGAAUCCAGGUUACCGAGGGGCGAACCGGGGGAACUGAACAUCUGGCACCCCGAGGAAAGAAAUCAACCAGGAGUUCCCCCAGUAGCGGCGAGCGAACGGGGAGGAGCCCAGAGCCUGAAUCAGCAUGUGUGUGCUAGUGGGAAAGGUUCGGAAAGGCGCGCGAUACAGGUGACAGCCCCGUACACAAAAGCGCAUGCUGUGAGCUCGAUGAGUAGGGCGGGACACGUGGUAUCCUGUCUGAAUAUAUGGGGACCAUCCUCCUGCUACAAUACCCUGACUGACCGAUAGUGAACCAGUACCGUGAGGAAGGCGAAAAGAAACCCCGGCGAGGGGAGUGAAAAGAACCUGAACCGUACGUAUUAGUACAGUGGGGAGCAAUAUUACCUGUGACUGCGUACCUUGUAUACCGGGUCACACCUAUAUUCUGCAAAAGCAAGGUUAACCGUAUAGGGCCGGAGGGAAACCGAGUCUUAACCGGGCGUUAAGUUGCAGGGGUAUAGACCCGAAACCCGGUGAGAUUCAGCCAUGGGCGUUGAAGGUUGGGGCAACACUAACUGGAGGACCGAACCGACUAAUGUUGAAAAAAUUAGCGGAUGACCUGCGGCUGGGGUGAAAGCGCAAACAAUCAAACCGGGAGAUAGCUAUUCUCCGAAAGUUAUUUAGUAGCGCCUCGUGAAUUCAUCCGGGGUAGAGCACUGUUUCGGCUAGGGGGCCAUCCCGGCUUACCAACCCGAUGCAAACUGGUGAAUACCGGAGAAUGUUAUUACGGGAGACACACACACGGCGGCGCUUAACGUCCGUCGUGAAGAGGGAAACAACCCAGCAUCCCCGGCCAAGGUCCCAAAGUCAUGGUUAAGUGGGAAACGAUGUGGGAAGGCCCAGACAGCCGUGAUGUUGGCUUGUGAAGCAGCCAUCAUUUAAAAGAAAGCGUAACAGCUCACUGGUCGAGUCGGCUCGCGCGGAAGAUGUAACGGGCUAAACCAUGCACCGAAGUUGUGGCAGGCAGCGAACGUAUCACUCUAAAGCGAUUCAGCGGAUGGUCGAUUUCGACGGAGCGAAGCGACGUCAAAGCGCAUGUACAAAGUCGAGUCGGUCGGGGCGAUACGUUCGUUGGGUGGGGAGCGUUCUGUAAGUCUUUCGCGAAGCUGCGGCCUGCGAGGUUGCUGAGGUAUCAGUAGCGCGAAUGCUGACAUAAGUAACGAUAAAGCGGGUGAAAAGCCCGCUCGCCGGAAGACCAAGGGUCCCCGUCCAACGUUAAUCGGGGCAGGUGAGUCGACCCCAAGGCGAGUCGAAAGGCGCAGUCGAUGGGAAACGGGUUAAUAUUCCCGUACUUGGUGUUACUGCGAAGGGGGACGGAGAAGGCUAUGUUGGCCGGGCGACGGUUGUCCCGGUUUAAGCGUGUAGUGUGUGUUCCGUAAAAUCCGGUUCACUUUAACACUGAGGCGUGACGACGAGGCACUACGGUGCUGAAGCAACAAAUGCCCCUGCUUCCGUGAAAGUUCUCUACACUGUGGUAACAUCAAAUCGUACCCCAAACCGACACAGGUGGUCAGGUAGAGAAUACCAAGGCGCUGAGAGAACUCGGGUGAAGGAAUUAGGCAAAAUGCGCCGUAACUUCGGGAGAAGGCACGCUGACAUGUAGGUGAAGUGAUUUACCAUGGAGCUGAAGUCAGUCGAAGAUACCAGCUGGCUGCAACUGUUUAUUAAAACACGCACUGUGCAAACACGAAAGUGGACGGCUUGCGUGACGGCCUCGCCCGGUGCCGGAAGCUGUUAACACUGAUGGUCAGCGCGAAGUUCCCGAUCGAGCUUCCCGGUAAACGGCGGCCGUAACUAUAACGGUCCUUAAGGUAGCGAAAUUCCUUGUCGGGUAAGUUCCGACCUGCACGAAUGGCGUACGAUGGCCGCCGUUCCACCUCGAGACUCAGUGAAUUGAACUGCUGUGAAGAUGCAGUGUACCCGCGGCAGCAUUUGCUGACUUCGUGAACCUUUACUAUAGCUUCGACACUGAACAUUGAGCCUUGAUGUGUAGGAUGGUGAGGUUUUGAAGUGUGGACGCCAGUCUGCAUGGAGCCGACCUUGAAAUACCACCCUUAAUGUUUGAUGUUCUAACGUGACCCGUAAUCCGGUUGCGGACAGUGUCUGGUGGGUGGCUUGACUAGCGGUCUCCUCUAAAGAGUACGGAGGAGCACGAAGGUUGGCUAACUCUCGUCGGACAUCAGGAGGUUAGUGCAAUGGCAUGCUUCUCACAGUUGACCGCGAGCGUGACGGCGCGAGCAGGUGCGAAAGCAGGUCAUAUAGUGAUCCGUGGUUCUGAAUGGAAGGGCCAUCGCUCAACGGAUAAAAGGUACCCGGGGAUACCGAGGCUGAUACCGCCCAAGAGUUCAUAUCGACGGCGGUGUUUGGCAACCCGAUGUCGGCUCAUCACAUCCCGGCCGAAGUAGGUCCUAAGGGUAUGGCUAUUGCCCGCCAUUUAAAGUGGUGGCGCCGCUGUUUUCGGGUUUAGAACGUCGUGAGACAGUUCGUCCCAUUCGCCGUGGGCGCUGGAGAACUGAGGGGCUGCUCCAGUACGAGAGGACCGAGUGGACGCAUAUCACUCGGUGUUCGGGUUGUCGCGCCAAUGGCACCGCCCGGUAGCUAAAUGCGGAAGAGAUAAGUGCUGAAAGCAUCUAAGCAACGAAAUCCUGCCCUUCGAGAUGAGGCUCCUGAGACUUUUAGGGUCUCCUGAAGGAACGUUGAAGACGCACAUACGUCGAUAGGCCGGGGUGUGUAAGCGCAGCGAUGCGUUGAGCUAACCGGUACUAAUGAACCGUGAGGCUUAACCUA
rnacentral:rRNA from 1 species